CGACGUCGACCGGGUUUUCUUGAGACCUCGCCACUUCAAACACUGGAGGUCCACCAAAAUGAAGCCGGUCGAAUUCCACUCAGACAUCGCAUCUUCAACUUGAGAAGUGUUUCAAGGUGUAUAAUUGGUAAAUUGCAAACUAAUUCUGGGUUUGUUUCUUGAUCGAAAGUGUCCAAGUGGUAGAGAUUGACAAAAGGAAAAACCUUGAUGAAGAUCAUGUUAGUAGGAUGUCAAUUGAUACGAAAUCGGAGAUGAUUUUGACGAAUUUAUUUUUGUGAAAAUAGAUUUGGUCACACUUGAUAAAACCCAAUUUGCAUUUUGAACCCAUGAAGUCCGUUAAAACGACGGCGUGUCCUUUUAAGGUCGCAUUAUAGAACCUACGACGUCUAAUUGGUAAAAUUGCGAACUCAUACAGGGUUUAUUUCUUGAUCGAGACUUUUCAAGUCGUAGAUCUUGUAAAGAAGAUAAACUUUGGUGAAGAUCAAGUUAAUUUGAUAUCGAUUGAUACAUAAUCGGAGAUGAUUUUGUUAAAUUUAUUUUUCUGAAAAAAGACUUGGCCACACUUGAUCAUACCCACUUCAUUACGGAAUACAAAUUCGCUCCUCCGAGGGAAAAGGAGUGAAUUUGGUGGUUCGUUCAUCAGAAUUCAGAGGAAGCUAUGGAAGGAAGGAAUUGAUGGGAUCGAUCUCAUUGACAGUAACAGGCAGAUGGAAUCGGUGUGACGGUGGUGGGAUUAGCUCUGGCAUGUGCAUCCUAAUAAUGGAGAAAAAGAAGAAGGUGCUUAUGCCGAAAAUGGAAUGAGACGCUACUACACCCCGUUCUACCACAUAAUGCGUCUCUGGUACUUUAACCGUGUGGUAGAGAUGGGGUUUGAGACUAGGGGACAACAGAAAAUCGACUAGGAGAUCAGGGCUCCUGACAGGCAAUUUGGUCAGACUAAUAGGUGGCCACACAUGGAUCAAAAGGACAAAUAUUAGGCCUCAUGUUGGUUUGGCAGGUUGGGUUGAUUUGGGGGUCCUUGGUAUUUCAUAUUGGGAAACCAUUUCCCUCAACAAGUAGGACAUUUAGGUGUUGAUUUCAAUCACGUCUCAAUAAGGCAAGAAGAAUAGGGGCUUUGAGUUUGAAGAGCAAAAGAGUCCAACGCACAGCUGGAUUUUACUUUUCAUGCACAACAUACAAGAGGAAAAGAGGAUACAAGAGGAAAAGAGGAGUGAUUCAUCUGUGGUCUUGGGAUAUUGCCACGUGGUAUAUUAGUAUCUUUCACUACAAAUUCAUGCAAGUUUCACAAACUUAGUCUCGGGCUUUUAUCAAUGUGCAGUCAAGAUGAGUUUUGGGGACACCACGUAGUGGUUCUCCCAAGAGCACCCAAUAAUGUUUAGAUAAGAGGGUUUUACAAAACUAAGCUAAUGGAGAUCUACUUGAACUUGGCUUAGAAAAGCUCCUUUGAGAAAAAAGAUGAGGAUAAUAUAGAAUGAGCCAAACUACUAGAGAUUGACUCAAACUCGAAUACCUGUUUUUUAUUUGACUCAUCAUAUAAAGAAG